rnacentral:rRNA from 1 species
CAGUCGCCGCGGGAAUACGGAGGAUCCGAGCGUUAUCCGGAUUUAUUGGGUGUAAAGGGUGCGUAGGCGGCCUUGUAAGUCAGGGGUGAAAGACGGUAGCUUAACUAUCGCAGUGCCUUUGAUACUGCAGGGCUUGAAUGUACUUGAGGUAGGCGGAAUGUGACAAGUAGCGGUGAAAUGCAUAGAUAUGUCACAGAACACCAAUUGCGAAGGCAGCUUACUAAAGUAUGAUUGACGCUGAGGCACGAAAGCGUGGGGAUCAAACAGGAUUAGAUACCCGAGUAGUCCCUGUCUCUUAUAC